rnacentral:rRNA from 1 species
AGUGAACGCUGGCGGUAGGCCUAACACAUGCAAGUCGAACGGCAGCACAGUAAGAGCUUGCUCUUACGGGUGGCGAGUGGCGGACGGGUGAGGAAUACAUCGGAAUCUACUUUUUCGGGGGGGAUAACGUAGGGAAACUUACGCUAAUACCGCAUACGACCUACGGUUGAAAGCAGGGGAUCUUCGGACCUUGCGCGAUUGAAUGAGCCGAUGUCGGAUUAGCUAGUUGGCGGGGUAAUGGCCCACCAAGGCGACGAUCCGUAGCUGGUCUGAGAGGAUGAUCAGCCACACUGGAACUGAGACACGGUCCAGACUCCUACGGGAGGCAGCAGUGGGGAAUAUUGGACAAUGGGCGGAAGCCUGAUCCAGCCAUACCGCGUGGGUGAAGAAGGCCUUCGGGUUGUAAAGCCCUUUUGUUGGGAAAGAAAAGCAGCAGGUUAAUACCCCGCUGUUCUGACGGUACCCAAAGAAUAAGCACCGGCUAACUUCGUG